rnacentral:rRNA from 1 species
UACAGAGGUCUCAAGCGUUGUUCGGAUUCAUUGGGCGUAAAGGGUGCGUAGGUGGCGCCGUAAGUCAGGUGUGAAAUUUCGGAGCUUAACUCCGAAACUGCAUUUGAUACUGCGGUGCUUGAGGACUGGAGAGGAGACUGGAAUUCACGGUGUAGCAGUGAAAUGCGUAGAUAUCGUGAGGAAGACCGGUGGCGAAGGCGGUUCUCUGGGCCUGUACUGACGCUGAGGAGCGAAAGCGUGGGGAGCAAACAGG